CCUACGGGGGACAGCAGUGGGGAAUAUUGGUCAAUGGGCGCAAGCCUGACCCAGCAACGCCGCGUGAAGGAAGAAGGCUUUCGGGUUGUAAACUUCUUUUCUCAGGGACGAAGAAAGUGACGGUACCUGAGGAAUAAGCCACGGCUAACUACGUGCCAGCAGCCGCUGUAAUACGUAGGUGGCAAGCGUUAUCCGGAUUUACUGGGUGUAAAGGGCGUGUAGGCGGGACUGCAAGUCAGAUGUGAAAACCACGGGCUCAACCUGUGGCCUGCAUUUGAAACUGUAGUUCUUGAGUACUGGAGAGGCAGACGGAAUGCGUAGGGUAGCGGUGAAAUGCGUAGAUAUUAGGAGGAACGCCAGUGGCGAAGGCGGUCUGCUGGACAGCAACUGACGCUGAGGCGCGAAAGCGUGGGGAGCAAACAGGAUUAGAUACCCGAGUAGUC
rnacentral:rRNA from 1 species